GUGCCAUAAUACAUGCAGUCGAGCGGACAGAASGGAGCUUGCUCCCGGAUGUUAGCGGCGGACGGGUGAGUAACACGUGGGUAACCUGCCUGUAAGACUGGGAUAACUCCGGGAAACCGGAGCUAAUACCGGAUAGUUCCUUGAACCGCAUGGUUCAAGGAUGAAAGACGGUUUCGGCUGUCACUUACAGAUGGACCCGCGGCGCAUUAGCUAGUUGGUGGGGUAAUGGCUCACCAAGGCGACGAUGCGUAGCCGACCUGAGAGGGUGAUCGGCCACACUGGGACUGAGACACGGCCCAGACUCCUACGGGAGGCAGCAGUAGGGAAUCUUCCGCAAUGGACGAAAGUCUGACGGAGCAACGCCGCGUGAGUGAUGAAGGUUUUCGGAUCGUAAAGCUCUGUUGUUAGGGAAGAACAAGUGCGAGAGUAACUGCUCGCACCUUGACGGUACCUAACCAGAAAGCCACGGCUAACUACGUGCCAGCAGCCGCGGUAAUACGUAGGUGGCAAGCGUUGUCCGGAAUUAUUGGGCGUAAAGGGCUCGCAGGCGGUUCUUAGUCUGAUGUGAAGCCCCGGCUCAACCGGGGAGGUCAUGAAACUGGUAACUGAUGCAAGAG
rnacentral:rRNA from 1 species